CCUUCACACUUGCACAUUUCUUUCCCUCCCCAAAAUCUAGCAAGUUUCUGCCUGAUGCUCAAAUCACCAUUUUUAAUCCUCCUAUCACUCUGUAAGGUACAUAAACUUCUCAUUAUUUACACCAUUGUUGAACUUCUUUGUAUAACUCCAUUGUUUUCUUUUUUUCUUUCGCAAUUUUGGGUCUUGAAGUUGUUAUGUUAAGAAAUUCAAUACCAAAAGUUUACAUGACCCAGUUCCUUCUAUCUUUCUCUAAAAAUCCCAGUUUUUCAUAUUGUUCUUUUAUAAAUAAUGAUGAUAAUACUAAUAAAUCUGCUUCUGAAAACUAUAACCAAAACGGGCAUUUCAAUUCUGAAACUGAUUGGGAAAAUUUACUUAAACCCUUUGACAUUGAAGAUCUUCAAAAGUCACUUGCUUUUCUUACACCCUUUAGAUUAUGUAAAUUAAUUGAAUUGCCCAUUGAUUUGGCCACUUCAAUGGAACUUUUCAAUUGGGCUGGUACACAAAAAGGGUAUUCUCAUUCUUUUGAUGUAUAUUAUGCUUUGAUAUAUAAACUUGGUGCUGCUGCAAUGUUUAAAGAUAUAGAUAAAUUGUUAUUGCAAAUGAAAAAUGAAGGAAUUGCUUUUAAAGAGUCUCUUUUUAUGCUAGUUAUGAGGUUUUAUGGAAAGGCUGGAUUGCCUGGGCAAGCUACUAGAUUGUUAUUGGAUAUGAAGGAUAUAUAUGGGUUUAAGCCUAGUUUUCGAUCAUAUAAUGUAGUGUUAGAAAUUUUGGUAGCUGGGAAUUGUCAUAAGGUUGCUCCUAAUGUUUUUUAUGAUAUGUUGAAUAAGGGUCUUUCACCAACUACUUAUACUUUUGGUAUUGUAAUGAAGGCGCUUUGUAAGGUCAAUGAACUGGACACUGCAUUGUCUCUUCUUAGGGACAUGACGAAGUAUGGGUGUGUUCCUAAUUCGAUUAUUUAUCAGACACUUAUACAUGCUUUGUCGAAGCUAAACCGAGUUAAUGAUGCAUUGACCCUUUUAGAAGAGAUAAUGUUGAUGGGGUGUGUCCCUGAUGUUGAAACAUUUAAUGAUGUCAUACGUGGCCUUUGUAUGGUUAGUCGUAUUCACGAGGCAGCCAAGUUGGUUGAUCGGAUGCUUGCUCGGGGUUUUUCCCCUAAUGCUGUGACCUAUGGGUAUUUGAUGAAUGGGUUAUGUAGAGCAGGACAGGUUAGUGAAGCUAAGGCUCUGUUGAAGAAAGUUGCUGAGCCAAAUGUUGUGUUAUUUAAUACGUUGAUAAAAGGGUAUGUUCUGACCGGAAAGCUUGAUGAAGCUAAGGAAAUUGUUCGGGAAAGUAUGGUGGGUUCUAAAUGCGAACCAGAUAUAUACACUUAUAACUUAAUAAUACGCGGUCUUUGCAAAGAGGGUCUUUAUGGUUCGGCUAUGGAGCUUGUGGAAGACAUAGACCGUAAAGGAUAUAAGCCAAAUAUCACUACUUACACUAUAUUGAUUGAUGGAUUAUGUAAGGAAGGUAAACUCGAGGAAGCUAGUCAUAUGCUGGAUCAAAUGUCAACGAGGGGCCUCUCUUUGAAUACGGUUGGGUAUAAUUGCUUUAUAUGUGCCCACUGCAAGGAUGGGAACAUCCAUAAGGCUUUCAAAUUAUAUGCUGAGAUGUCAGGAAAAGGAUGUAGACCUGAUAUAUAUACAUUCAAUUCUCUAAUAUAUGGGUUAUGCAAGGUUAAUGAAAUGGAAGAGGCUUUGAAGUUGUAUAGGGAUAUGUUUCUAGAGGGAGUGAUUGCUAACUCUGUUACUUACAAUACAUUAAUCCAUGCUUAUUUGAGACAAGGUUUUAUACAAGAGGCACUCAAACUUGUACAUGAUAUGAUAUUUAGAGGGCUACCUCUUGAUGAAAUCACUUACAAUGGUCUUAUAAAGGCGUUAUGUGAGAGCGGAGCUCUAGAAAAAGCUUUAGGGCUAUUCGAAGAAAUGGUUAGAAAUGGAAGCAAGGUUCGUGUGAUUACAUGUAAUAUACUUAUCAAUGGCUUUUGCCGAUCAGGGAAGGUGGAAAAGGCACUAGAACUGUUGAGAGAGAUGAUUUAUAGAGGCUUGACACCAGAUAUAGUCACAUACAAUACCCUGAUAAAUGGUUUGUGUAGAAAUGAACGCCUCCAAGAAGCCGUUAACCUCUUAGAGCGAUUACUAGUUGAAGAAAUUUCUCCUGAUUCUAUUACUUACAACACUUUGAUUAAUUGGCAUUGUAAGUGUGGUCUGUCAAACGAUGCCUUGAUGCUUUUAUACAGAGGCCUGGACAAUGGGUUUAUCCCCAAUGCAACCACAUGGUAUAUAUUAAUAAAUAAUUUCAUUCACAAGAAAUGGAGUAACGUUUUGGGUUUCUCUUGAUUUGCAUUGUGGUGCUGCCUUUGAGGAAGGUUCUUGUGUAGGGAACUUCCUCUGCUGUGCUAGAGGAAAGCUAGUGAGCUAUGGUUUAUAGUUCCUCUUGUGUAGCUGAAUGUACAUAUUUGUGUUGGAAAAGUCAAAACGUUAUGUAGCAUUUUGGCUUUAUGGACCUAUUAUCGUUAGAGCUUUUCUUUAUGGAAAAGCCGAUGAACCAUCAAACAAAUCCUCUAUGACAACAACAACAACAAUAAUGUCAGAGCUUUAAUCUUAAAAAAUUGGAGUCGGCUAUUAAAAAGUUCCUUUAAUCGACAUUAUAAUGGAGGGCCUAUUCUGAAUUUACCGCAGAUUUGUAAGAGGUCAACUUGGACAUGAUGUAUCAAAUGUGGAAGUGGAUCUUGAGUCUUACGACUGAAAACACGGAUGGAGAGCCUUCAAAUGAGUAUAUUCGCGAAGUUCUGGUUUAUGAUGCCAUUAAAAAGGCUGCAUUCUGGGUAUGUUCUAGUAUUCUAGUCAUUAACAGCGCGUAAAAUGGUGAGACUGGUUUCCUCCGAUAGCUGUUAACUCCAAUUGACUAGAUCAGGGCCGUUUUAGCUUUGUGAAAGAUGGAAAAAGAAGGUGAACUACGAUAAUGCUGCUGCCUGUUGCAAUGCAGGAAUGGCGAUAAGUAAUUGGUCUUUGGGUUGUAAAUCUAUGUACCACACUAUGUUACUCAGAUUCUUCAUUUUGCUUCACGCACUUGUGUCCGGUCCUUGAUGCUCGGACAUUGAGUGUAUUGCUACCAAGUGAACGCGAAGAAGAUGAUCAAAGAGGAUGGACUAUGUCUAGCUUCGUAAUGUUAACCUAUGAGUUACCUUGUGUAGAAGAUGAAUGCUGGAUAAAAUUUUGUUCCUAUGUUAAAUGAUCGAAAAGGUCAGUCAUAGUCAUAGACUCAUAGUGAUCAACCUAGUAUCCGGCACAGGUUGGAGUCCGGGGGAGGAAGGUAUCGGACAGACCAAUAGACCAUACCCGUACCCCUCCGAGGAAAGGGGAAAGGCAAAGAGGACUGCGCGCACUCAAAUGAUCCCCAAAAAAUUUUGCUCUGCAAAGAGAAAUGUGAAUGAUAUACAUCUCGCUUGAGAUUGGAAGGCGCCUACAAUCGAGAAGGUGAAAUGGGAUAGCAUUUGGCGAUAUGGAAAUAAAUAAUUCUAGCUGGAGAACUAUGCUUACAUUACAUGUUUUGUUUUGCUUAGUGUAUAAGGUAAUAGUAAUGUUUUUCUUUCCUAAUGGUGACAUUUGGGAGUUGCUUAGGAUUUGGAAAAUGGUUAUCCAAAUGGUUAAAAUAUGUAAGAUGUAUCUCUUACGUUGUUGUUGUAAUUCAUAACGUUUAAAUAUAGCAUUUAGUUGGAUUAUUGUGUAGUGUCAUCAUUUUGAUUAGAAAGAUAGAUGAAUAUUCUUAUAAUGCCACUUUAAGGUGUCUUGUCCAACCUUCCUAAGUGCUUAAUAGUUAAUAGUGAUGUGUGGUUUUGUUCUCCCUUUCUGGUCUAGAGGUGGUUGUGGGGAGAUGCCCCAUAUUGAAGAUGCAUUUUACAAUAUUUUUGAAAGAAAUUAAAUCAAUCGAAAACUUAAGCUGAU